AGCAACCUCCUGCACAGGUGUCACAAGUGGCACAGAGCUCCUGCCUGCUGGUGCAUGGACCAUUGUAAGCCUCAAGUGCCUUUCAGCUAUAUUCCCAUCCCAAACCUGCCUGUCCAGGAUGGACCAAGGACAUGUUCAAGUUUCUACCAUGCCAUGGACCUCUCUGAAACCCCAUGUUCGGAAGACUUGAUUCCAUCCUGAGAUGCCUCAUGCCUCUUCUAUGUUCCUGUCUGUGGAAGGCUCUGCUGCAGAUCAAACAUCCCCGCAGUACCUCCAAGGAGAUAAUUUAAUUGUGCUUUAGAAGGUACCCUUUCUAGUUGACAUGAUUUCCCAUUAAAAAAGAGACCAAAUGUUAUUGCACAAGUCAAGACAAUAGCACAGUGUGAUCGACUUAUCUGGGAGAUAACAUUUUAUUGACAUGCCAAGAGCAAAAACUAAUGAGGCACAGAAGAGAGGAAGCAGAGUUGCUUACUGGCUGCCAUUUCUCAUGAAGAAAUACAUCUGAACAGUAUCACUAGAAUUUGGCAAACUGCUGCUGUGGGUUGCCGUGUGGAGGGCAAUCACACCAUGCAGAGUGGUCAACCUAUCCCCACAUCUCCAGCAGCAAGUUUAAAUAGAACCAGAAGAGCCCUGAUGCUGGAAUGAAAGACGGCUGUUGUUCUGGCUGCUUUGUGCUCUCCUGUCAAGGGCCAGGUAAACUCUGCAGAAGGGACCAGCACCACUAAGACCAGGCUCAAUUGCAGGCUCUGCUGUGAUGAAAGUGGAAGAGGUGCCAAAGGACACAGGUUGCUGAAUUUUGCUGAGAAGAAAGUAGGUGGGAAGGUGGGGGGUUCCCCACAGUCACAGGAGGAGGAACAGGUAGCAUUGAGCUAUACACUGCCUUAUAGAUUCUGGCCAGAGCAAUCAAAAAUAAGCUGUUUUUGUCCCUUGACCUUGUGUGCGGGAUAUAAGAGCACUGGGUGGAUGCUGAGCUACCGUAUGGUCCUGAUGUUGGUCACACUGCAGGAGGGCUCAGCGAUACCUGUUCAGCAGGAUGAAGCCAGGCUGCAAGCCAGCCCAGAGAAUAUUCCCAUCUACAGCAACCAGAGGAUAAAGCUGAUGUAGUAACCUUCCUACCAGCCAUUAACCCAAGAUAAAUGCUGUACAAUUAUGAAUUUAUCUGCUAUUUAUUAUAAUAGCAGCAAUCUUAAUGAAUUAAGUCACUGUUUAGGUGAGUUAUUUCCAUAGAUAAUUUAUUGUAAGUUAAAUUUUCCUUUACCAAAUCUGUUUUAGAGUCCAUAACUUUAUCUUUAAUGCAUGAUGUAUCACUUAAUGACAGCUUUUGGCUGUGCAUUAGUGAACUCUAGUUAAUACAAUAUUUCUUCCAGAUAAUUUUCCUAGUAAAGGAAGUACAACAUUUGUACUCAUUUUCAUGCCAGCUCUCCAGAGAGGGGCUGAGAGUGGAGGUAUAUGUAUGUAUUUAUCUGUGGGGGAGGUAAAGGUGACUAUUUGAGUGGAGGUAUAUGUAUGUAUUUAUCUGUGGGGGAGGUAAAGGUGACUAUUUGAAGAAUCUUAAGAGCUCUUUCAUAGACUCUUCUAAUGCCCAUUUUUUGCUGGUAAUAAGUGCACUAGUAAAUUUAAGAGCCUUCUGGGGUUUCUCUGGGUUUCUCUGAACCUCCACCCUCACUAGCAGCAAAUGACAUUUGUUAGCACGGAUACAGUUUGGUCUCUGCAAAGCAGAUUGCUUCUUCCUAGGUAUGGUGGAGUUACCAGUGUAGAUACAGUCUGCUGAUCACUCUCAUGUCCAAAUAUGAGCUCUUUACAAAUACAUUAGUGCUGAUAUUUAAAACCAUUGAGUGCAUAAAUAAGCAGGGUCCCAGCAGUAAAUUCAGCCUGCAGGGAAGACAGGUAUUUUGGUAGCAGGCACUGGGAGAAAUGAGAGAAAAAUUUUGCAAAGCUUUUGAUCCAAGGACCAAUGGGUUAAAGACAGUGGCUAUAUCAGUUGGGCUGAAGGUAACUUUCUGUCAGUGUCAGUAGUAGCAGUGCUCAUGGGCCCUUUUCUGACUGCAGCCAUUGCAGGGUGGCAUCAUAGAGGUGAAUUUUAAUCUAAGAGUAUUUAGGAUAGUCUGAGAUGAACAGGGAUGUGUGACCUUCAGAAAACAGGAAUAGUUCAAGAUUGAACCAUAUUUGCAGCCAUCUUCGGUGUAAUGGAGCUGCCAUCAAAAUGGGCAUAAAGAAGUGAUAUAAGCCUUAAAGUAUAUUGUUGAAAAUACCACCUCUCUUGCUGAACUUUGGUGAGACAGGCCACAAACACCAGCUAGGAGCUAGCUGUUGAGUGGAAUCAAUAAUUAAAACAUAAAACUGAGAGUCUCCAAAGAACAGUAAAAAGAACAUUUGGGAUGAGCAAGGGCAGAGCAGACAAAGAACAAAGACUUCAAAAGUUCUGGAAGUCCUUUCUUGGACCACACAAGACGGGAAGGUACUUUUAUUAUCUCCUGUGCUGUGAUUUCAGGAAUGCUGAUUUGAUUGAAUGUUUUCUAAUUUUAAGUUCUUUCAUAUAAAAAAGAAGUAUAGUUUAAAAGGACUGCUCAGUUGCAAAUGCCUUCUUAUGGAAAAAAAUCAAAUUCAAUCUUUCUGGAGGAAAAUCUAAGCUUUUUAGCCUCUGACCAAAUCAACAUGCUGGACCCUCAGAUGAAGCUAGUGGAGUUAAAAUUUGUACUUGCUGCUGAACAGCAAAUGCCAGAAGGGUAAUGCAUUUUGUUAGACCCCAAUGACAAGAACAAUCUAUUAGCAAAGCUGUGACAUAAUGAAACCUCUCAACAUGCCAUCUUUAUGGAGUGAAAAUGCUCCUUUCUACCUCCGUGCUGGGGAGCAGAUACACAUUGGUUUGGCCAACCUAGACUCCAUGGAGAAUGGCAAGUCCCCUUUCUGUAGAGCAUGAUGAAUAAUAGAUGUGAUGAAAAAUGUUUCAAAAACUGUGACCCUACUGUGUUCUGGCAUGGCUGGUUCAGGUACUAGUUUGUUUGACCCUCAGUACUGGCUUUUCUGAAGCUCUCUGUCCUGGACAGGCUGGGUGCUCUACCUGGGUUUUAUGUCUCUGAGCAGCUUCUCUUUCCUUUUUCCUGAGCUUUUGACAUCUCUCAAGCCUUUUGCAAAAGGGAAUUAAAGCAUCCUGCCAUUAAAUUCUGCAAAAUCAUAGUGUAAUCUCCUGACAGCAUUACACCCUUAUAGAAUGAGACUUACCCUUGCAUGGAGGAAAACUUAGU